CCUUCGAUAGCUCAGUUGGUAGAGCGGUGGACUGUAGAUCCAUAGGUUACUGGUUCAACUCCGGUUCGAAGGA
rnacentral:tRNA from 1 species